AGUUUUUACAUUAUUUAUACUGUUAUAAAAUGAAUUUUACAUCAUUCUAAAAUUGAAAGUAUUGAAAGAAGGUUGAAAGAAACCGGAAACUUGUAAUUCAAAAGAAAUAAUGCUGGAAAGCAAUGUACAACAAGUACUGUGCAUCUGGAAGAGGAAAUAUCAAAUAAUAUUUUUGAAAGGCCAUCUUUAAGUACUCGAACUGUAGAUCGCGCUUCAAGAUUCUACUGUAUGGAAACUUUUAAAAGAACAACAACAACAAAUUGGCCAGUGUUCAAGCAUUAGAACCUAGAUAUUUUCAGCUGGAAUUUAAAAAUGAGAUAUAAAAGGAAAAAAGAUGAGGAAGUGAUUAGAUAGUUGAGUAAGUUUCCAAAUCGUAGAAAAUAGAAAGUACCACAAUGGGCCUCAGACCUCCGAGGAAACCACGAGCAAUCUUGAUAAAUAUUGCCCGUUCUAACCUAGUAAUUGGACCAAAUCAGAAGAAGUAGCAAAUUUAGGCCUGGUUUGAAUUGACGUGUAAUGACCAAACAUCUUCAUUUCAUCGAACAUAAGUAUGGCGAAUGAAUCAAUUUUUAAAGAAUGAGAUCUUCAAUGGACUAUCGGAUUCGGAAAGAAAUUUGGCGACGAUAGCGCGAGAUGAUUGAUUUAUAUUAUCUACAGUUUGAGUGACUUAAUGAUCGUGGUGUGCCGGUAAGUGGAUUAGGGAAGGCUAAUGGUUCAAAAUUAGUGUCCGAACGUCACAAAUAAUGACUUCAAUUUAGGAUUUUGGCAACUGUAUAUAAGUAGCAGUAUUCUGACGUUUCAUCUAGCUUCAUUAGUCGGUACAACAAGCAGUGCUUGCAGUCUGUAAUGAAGAUCAGUUGUGUGUGUACGUGCGUUUCAAGCCUCGACUCGUAAUUAUUACGACAGAUAAGUAUUUACGUUACUAAUAUGUUGGAAUAUUUAUAUAAUUUAAUUUUUUGUUAGGUAUAUUUGAAAUGAAGUGUCAAAGCGAAAACGUUUCGAAAAUACAAGACCGUUAACAGAUAAUGAGUUAGAAGCAUUAGUGUUGUCCCUUAACUCCUCAGAUGACGGAGAAAUACAAUCUAGCGGUUCCGAAUAUGAAGAUAACCUGGAGAAUGAUAUUAUUCCCUCUGAAUCAGAAUAUGAACCCGGUGUAUCCGAUGCAGAAAGCACCGAUUUUGACCAAAGUAAAAUCAUGCGGCGAAAAAGAUAGUAUACCAGUAUCCUAUAAUUCAAGAUUAGAAACUCGAAAAAUAAAUUACUCUAUUGAUGUUGAUGAGACUGAAACAUCAAUAGAAAAUAAUCAAUCUCAAAACUUGGAAGGAACAAAUUAACAAAAUAUCUUAUAAGAAGAAAAUUAUGACAUCGAAAAUGUGCAGACAAGUACAUCAGACAAGUGCCAAAUUGGGAAAAAGUCUUGGGGGUAAGAAUGGCCACCGCUGGUGUACUUCUGUUGUCAACAGAAGCAAACGAAUUUCAAAAGUAAAUAUUGUACAUAUAAUACAAGGAUCUGUAGGAGAUACACGGAAAGCUCAGACCCCCAGAAAUAUGAUCCACACUAAUCUAGGAAUAGGAACUAAAUCUGAAAACUACAAAGUGUCCAAAUCCACUGUUUCCAGUAUUAGUCCAGAAGAAUUACAUGCUUUUGUUGGCCUUCUAAUAUUUGCAGCAGUCCAAAAGGACAACUAUUUAGCCACCAGAGAAAUUUUUGUUUACAGAAAGUCCGGGUCUAUUUGCAGAGCAACACUAAGCCGUGAGAGAUUUGAAUUUUUAUUGGAUAAUCUGCGGUUCGAUGACAAAAGUACACGUAUCGAAAGAAGACAACUAGACCGUUUUGUACCUAUUCCAGAUAUCUGGAAUGAGUUUAUUCUAAAUUAUAAUCGCUCAUAUAGACCUGGCAGUUAUAUAACUAUUGACGAGUAGUUAUAAGUAUUUAGGGGACGCUGCUCAUUUAGGAUGUAUAUUCCCAAUAAGCCCGCUAAAUACGGGAUAAAGAUCGUUAUGUGUUGCGAUGUGGGAACAAAAUACAUGUUUGCUGCUGAACCUUACCUUGGGAAAAAUACAGACACCAACUAAGUACCCUUAGGAGAAUAUUAUGUCAAGAAGUUGAUUGAAAGUCUCCGCGGAAGUAAUCACUACAUAACAAUGGACAAUUGGUUCACUUCGGUAAAUCUUGCGGACCAGCUUCUAAAGCCACCAUACUACAUGACAAUAGUUGGCACUAUGAGACACAAUAAACGUGGAGUGCCCCCUGAAAUGAUCAAUCUGAGAAACAGAGAGGUGGGAAGCUCAAUUUUUUGUUACGAUAGAGAAAACACACUAGAUUCAUACAAACCUAAAAGAAAUAAAAGCGUUUUUCUUCUAUCUACAAUACAUGAAGGAUCAACUAUCUGUCCGGAUACUGGAAAGUCCGAAAUAAUAUUAUUUUAUAAUAAAACCAAAUGCAUUUGACCAAAUAAAUAAAUUCUUGGAUUAUGUUCAAUAAUAAUUUACAAACAAAUGGAAAGAAAAUGAUCUCAAGAGAAGAUUUCAUGAUACAACUUUCUAAACAACUAACAAGACCUUGGUUAGAAUGAUGCAAAAUUGUUCCAACUUUGCAACGCUCACUCAAACGUAUGAUUUCAAAAAUAAUCGCAAUUCCACUACCAGAGAGUCGGAAUGAACCCACUGCAUCAAAACGUACUACUUGUUACAUUUGUCCAUUUAAAAAACGUAGAAUGACGUCACUUUAUUGUAGCACCUGUCACCCAGCAUUUUGGGCCGAACAUCGUGCACGUUGUGUUACCUGUGAUGCAGAAAAAUAAUUUUUGUUUAUUUUAUUAAUUCUUUUAGUUCAAAACAUAUGUAUUAGUUAGCACCAUGUAAAAUUUUAUAUUAAAAAAUAUUUUGACAACUUGUUUUUGAUUUUUGAAUACGAGAUCGUAAAAAUUACGAAUGGGUAGUAUUCACGGUAUUGGAAAAUAUAGUUAGUAUUCUAGGUUUCAUUAUUUUUUUUUUUAAAAACAACAAUAAAUGCUGGACGAUCCA